UACGAAGGGUGCAAGCGUUACUCGGAAUUACUGGGCGUAAAGCGUGCGUAGGUGGUUCGUUAAGUCUGAUGUGAAAGCCCUGGGCUCAACCUGGGAAUGGCAUUGGAAACUGGCGACCUAGAGUGCGGUAGAGGGCAGUGGAAUUCCCGGUGUAGCAGUGAAAUGCGUAGAGAUCGGGAGGAACAUCUGUGGCGAAGGCGACUGCCUGGACCAGCACUGACACUGAGGCACGAAAGCUAGGGGAGCGAACGGG
rnacentral:rRNA from 1 species